rnacentral:rRNA from 1 species
GGUUAAGCGACUAAGCGUACACGGUGGAUGCCCUGGCAGUCAGAGGCGAUGAAGGACGUGCUAAUCUGCGAUAAGCGUCGGUAAGGUGAUAUGAACCGUUAUAGCCGGCGAUUUCCGAAUGGGGAAACCCAGUGUGUUUCGACACACUAUCAUUAACUGAAUCCAUAGGUUAAUGAGGCGAACCGGGGGAACUGAAACAUCUAAGUACCCCGAGGAAAAGAAAUCAACCGAGAUUCCCCCAGUAGCGGCGAGCGAACGGGGAGGAGCCCAGAGCCUGAAUCAGUAUGUGUGUUAGUGGAAGCGUCUGGAAAGACGCGCGAUACAGGGUGACAGCCCCGUACACAAAAAUGCACAUAUUGUGAGCUCGAUGAGUAGGGCGGGACACGUGGUAUCCUGUCUGAAUAUGGGGGGACCAUCCUCCAAGGCUAAAUACUCCUGACUGACCGAUAGUGAACCAGUACCGUGAGGGAAAGGCGAAAAGAACCCCGGCGAGGGGAGUGAAAAAGAACCUGAAACCGUGUACGUACAAGCAGUGGGAGCACGCUUAGGCGUGUGACUGCGUACCUUUUGUAUAAUGGGUCAGCGACUUAUAUUCUGUAGCAAGGUUAACCGAAUAGGGGAGCCGAAGGGAAACCGAGUCUUAACUGGGCGUUAAGUUGCAGGGUAUAGACCCGAAACCCGGUGAUCUAGCCAUGGGCAGGUUGAAGGUUGGGUAACACUAACUGGAGGACCGAACCGACUAAUGUUGAAAAAUUAGCGGAUGACUUGUGGCUGGGGGUGAAAGGCCAAUCAAACCGGGAGAUAGCUGGUUCUCCCCGAAAGCUAUUUAGGUAGCGCCUCGUGAACUCAUCUCCGGGGGUAGAGCACUGUUUCGGCAAGGGGGUCAUCCCGACUUACCAACCCGAUGCAAACUGCGAAUACCGGAGAAUGUUAUCACGGGAGACACACGGCGGGUGCUAACGUCCGUCGUGAAGAGGGAAACAACCCAGACCGCCAGCUAAGGUCCCAAAGUCAUGGUUAAGUGGGAAACGAUGUGGGAAGGCCCAGACAGCCAGGAUGUUGGCUUAGAAGCAGCCAUCAUUUAAAGAAAGCGUAAUAGCUCACUGGUCGAGUCGGCCUGCGCGGAAGAUGUAACGGGGCUAAACCAUGCACCGAAGCUGCGGCAGCGAC